rnacentral:rRNA from 1 species
GACGAACGCUGGCGGCGUGCCUCAGACAUGCAAGUCGAACGCGAAAUCUCCCUUCGGGGAGAAAGUAGAGUGGCGCACGGGUGAGUAACACGUAGGUAAUUUGCCUUUGGGUGGGGAAUAACUCAGGGAAACUUGAGCUAAUACCGCAUAAUGCAGCGGCUCGACAUCGAGACAGUUGUUAAAGCGGGGGAUUCGCAAGAACCUCGCGCCUGAAGAGAAGCCUGCGGCAGAUUAGCUAGUUGGUAGGGUAAUGGCCUACCAAGGCGACGACGGGUAGCUGGUCUGAGAGGAUGGUCAGCCACAUUGGAACUGAGACACUGUCCAGACCCCUACGGGAGGCUGCAGUCGAGAAUCUUGGUCAAUGCACGAAAGUGUGAACCAGCGACGCCGCGUGAAGGAUGAAAGACCUCUGGUUCGUAAACUUC